rnacentral:rRNA from 1 species
UACGUAGGGACCAAGCGUUGUUCGGAUUUACUGGGCGUAAAGGGCGCGUAGGCGGCAAUUCAAGUCAGCUGUGAAAUCUCCGGGCUUAACUCGGAACGGUCAGCUGAUACUGUUUUGCUAGAGUGCAGAAGGGGCAAUCGGAAUUCUCGGUGUAGCGGUGAAAUGCGCAGAUAUCGGGAAGAACACCUAUGGCGAAGGCAGCUCUCUGGGACGGUACUGACGCUGAGACGCGAAAGCGUGGGGAGCGAACAGG